GUAAAGGGUCCACUUGGCACUUCUUUCAAGAGAAGACAAUAUUUUAAGGACAAUCUUAAGGUUGUAGAACCUGUGGAAUAUAUUUUGGAUACUGCUGGAAGUAGAUACUAUCAGUAUGUACCUAUUCUCCAGACAUUGCAACAUGUGUUAAAUGGAAUGCACAUGAGCUUGGAAAGGUCUCCACAGUGUUCAAGUGUCUCAUCAACAUUAGAGUCUUUUGCUCAUGGCAAACAUUUCACUGAAAACUAUUUUCUUGCCGAGGAUGAAACUAAAAUCCUUCUGCUAUUAUAUGUUGAUGAUUUCGAGGUGUGCAAUCCACUUGGAACUUCAAAGAAAAAGCACAAAAUCACAGCGGUAUAUUGGGUUUUGGCAAAUAUGCCUCCAGAAUUGCGAUCUGCUCUUGCAUCAAUACAGUUGGCUGUUCUCAGCAAAGCUGAUGAUGUGAAAAGAUUUGGAUAUGAUGUCAUUUUAGAACCUCUUUUGAAUGAUCUUUGUAUAUUGGAGCAAGACGGGGUUUUCAUUGAUAGAUACGGAAAAUGUAUCAAAGGGACUGUGCUCAAUGUCAUUGCUGAUAACCUUGGUGCACAUGCAAUUGGUGGUUUAGUUGAAAGUUUUAAUGGAGAUUAUAUCUGUCGAUUUUGCCUUGGCCACCAUGCUGAAUUCCAGAAAAAGGAAGUGAGAUCAGGUGCUUUUCCUCCAAGAACUAGAGAGGGUUAUGCAAGCCAUGUUCAGACUGUGAAGGAUAAUCCUACACUGACCCAUUGCUAUGGUGUCAAAAAGGUUUGUCCGUUGACUGAGAAACUGAAACAUUUUCACUUUACUACUGGCUAUCCCCCAGACAUAGCCCAUGACUUAUUUGAAGGUGUCAUUCCUAUGGAGCUAGCACUGUGCCUCUCUGUUCUUAUAAAGAAGAAAUAUUUCACUUUAAGUGAACUCAAUAAGGAAAUUGCUUGCUUUCCUUACAAAUGGACAGACAAAACAAACAGUCCGCAGGCAAUACCUGAGCAUUUUGCUAGGCGUCGAAGUGUAGGGGGUAAUAUGCACGAGAACUGGGCUCUUAUCCGACUCCUGCCAUUCUUUAUUGGGUCCAAGAUACCUUUAGGUGAACCUGCUUGGCAGAUACUUAUGACUUUAAAAGAUAUUGUUGAACUGGUCGUGUCACCUGUUCACACUGCAGAAACUAUUGGUUAUCUGGACUCUAAAAUAUCAGAACAUCGGCAUCAUUUUCUUGAACUAUUCCCACAUGAAAGACUGCUCCCAAAACACCACUUCUUGGAGCAUUAUCCACAUCUGAUUGAAUCAUUUGGUCCAGUAGUUGGACUUUGGACCACACGCUUUGAAUCUAAGCACAGCUUUUUCAAGCGUGUAGUGAGACAUACAUCAAAUUUCAAAAAUCUGUUGCUGUCACUUGCUACAAGACAUCAGCUGAUGAUGGCUUACCACUUACAUGCAAGGCCUGAUACGACCUCAUUGUAUGUGAGCAAAGUUUCCAAUAUGCAGUUGGAGCUUCUGCAUGUAGAGGUACAGCAGGCGAUAAGAAAAAUUUCAGAUCAAGCAAGUGUCCCUUUAACCACUUCAGUAACUUACUGUGGAACAGUAUACAAACUAGGGAUGAUUCUGCCUUAUGGUUGCACUGGAGGUUUACCUGAUUUUGCUGAAAUUAUGCAAAUUGUUAUUUUGAACAAAACUAUUAGUUUCAUUGUCAAGACCUUCAGUGGCUGGUAUGAUGAGCAUCUGAGAUCUUACUAUCUUCAAUCAAGUGGUGAUGUGCGCCUUGUUGAGCUUAAGGAACUUGGUGAUUGGUAUCCUCUGGCAGCUUAUUGUUUGGGUGAAAAAUUUCUAGUCACACUGAAGCAUCAUAUCUGCUGUUCUUAUUAAAUGACAGCAUGACUGCUGUGAAGAUAUGUUUUUUCCUAACAUUUUCUGACCUUUCUGGUUAUUACAACCUAAAAUGCAUCUCAAAGAACCUGCUAAGCAAAAAGUGUACAACUGUACAAGAGGCAGUACAAAUUAUAUACAAGAGAGAGUCAGGCAUUCAACAUUCCGCGUAAGAUCCCUGAAUGCAAGUAUUGACAAUAAAGGUUAAUGAUGACUUUGAAUAUUUCGAUGAUCAGCAGAUGUCCCUAUAAAGGUUUUUCAUUUGUGGUUUAUGACUAGCUUAAUCGUGCUUUGGUCAUUGCUGUUACUUCAGAGUGAACAACUUAGGUCAGAAUCAGGCAUUUAUGGUAUAUCACUUUUCUUUUGGUCUUUACACUUUCAGAUGACAGCAUGGACCCUGCAGCACUUAGAGUACUUAUUGCACUGGAAAUCAGGAAGUUAAUUCUUCCCUCAGGAAUCCCAAAUACGUUGGAUGAACUUAAGAAGGCUGUUAAGGGGGCAUAUAAUAUCACAGAAGAUUUCUCUCUUCAGUAUAAAGAUUCUGACUUUAAUGACUUCUUUACCCUUACGUCCACUGACCAAAUUCAGCACAAGGACACAAUCAAAGUUGUAUUCCCUGCUCCUAUCAUUCUAACACUGUUUGCUGAAAAUGAAGAAAACAUCACUGCAAGUACAUCUUUCUCAGCAGAUGAAGUAUCCUCUAUUUCCUCUACUGCAUGUUCAGUUGAUGACGCUGUCCCAUGUGAAUCCACAUCCUAUGGGGAAACAGUCAUUCUUUCCCCACAAACUACCCCAGAGAGGAUGCCAUGGCCUCAAGAGUUCCCUAUUCCAAGUUUUUCUCCGGAAAUAGAGAUUCUGGUCAAAAAGGCUAUGGAGGAUUACAACAGACAUGGCAGCCUUCUAAAUGUCCAAAUUGUGAAGAAGGAUGUAAUGGACCAUUUAGUUAAGGCUAUUUACAUGUACACAUCAUAUCCUUCUGGAAAGCAGAUUGAAGGUGUGGCCGAAGCACUUAUCCGAAAAUACCCAUGUUUGAAGGAACCAGGCUCUUUCACAGGGUUUCAAGGCUGGCAAAUGAGCCUGAAGUACAAAAUGGCUGAUUACAGAAGACGACUCAGCAAAUUUGGUUUUCCUGAAGUUUUAUGUAACACAUUUAAGAAGAAGAACCCUGAGGACAGGAAGUCAGCGAAAAGUGUCAAAAAACCUCGUAAGGCAGAAGUUAAUUAUCUACCGCAAUACCCACCAGGUGAAAACCAGGACAGUUUGGAGCAAGAGAGAGUUCUACUGCUGACUGAAGUGAAAAAAAAGAAUAAUACUAUUGUGGUGAAAGACAAAAUGUCAAGAACUUUUGCUCUACGAAGACAUGAGGUGAUUGAACUGUGUCCUAGUGUUGCAGAAAUCAAAGAUCGCUGGCCUGCUCUGUUUGAUGUUCUCCAGAUUAAUGAAGAAUUUAGGAGAAUCACCACUCUGCACCUAGAAUCAAUAUUUAUGAAAAUGUUGGACCUCUACACUCCUAAACUUUUGGCAAUAUUUACUAGCAGAGGGGGAGCACUAGGCUGGAAUUUGAAGCAGAAAAUGGAUGCCCUGCUAAUGAAUCCUGAAAGAAACAUCGAUAUGACAAGAGAUAUUGUCCUCCGUUGCCUGAUCUGUUAUCUGGGUGAAAAAGAGGAUAACCUCAUCCAAGAGUACAAUUGUGACAACGGAGAUGUGCAGCAAGAUAUACUGGAGCACAUAAUGAAAAUUGCCAUCUGCAAAGGAGAUCAUCAGGAGGACAUCAGCAUCAUCUUGGAGGGGGUGCAAGUCAUGACUGGCUUGGGCAAUAUGGCUAGAGCCUGUGCUGUUCUUCUUGGCCUCACAUAUGCACUAAACCUCACCUACCCGAAAAAACUGAAGAACACAUUUGAGGCCUUUCAAAAGCUGCUCUUGGAACUCGAUGUAUGCAAGUUGUCCGGCAAAUUGCUAUCACUUAAAAACAAACUCCUCAUGACUUAGAUUGAGAUACAACGCAUUGUACCAAGUUCUGUUGAAAACGGGAUUAAGCGUUUGAGAUUGGUCUACAUGGUUUUGUUACAUCACGUUUCGCUACAAGUUGUUAUAAAAAAUCCCGAAUGUGAAACUUUCCCAAACGUUUGUGGAACAAAAAGACCAUUUUCACUUAUCUUGAAAAUGGAAGUUUUUAUGUUUAAGUCUUAAAAUUGCUUUGACGACUUGGUAGUGCAUUUUGUUUUCAAGUCAUUUUCAUCAAUACAAAUGAGGAAAUUUUACUAACCUUACUUGUGAGACAAAUAAAUAAAGCACAUUGCUUAAAUGAAACAAAGUCAUCAUGUGCCGUUGAUUGAAAAGUUAAGGGAAUUUUACAAAAAAUGUUUGUGGGACAAUUUAAAUAAAUAAAGCACAUUGCUUAAAUGAAACAAAGUCAUCAUGUGCCGUUGAUUGAAAAGUUAAGGGAAUUUUACUAAU